rnacentral:rRNA from 1 species
GACGAACCGAGCGAACGUUGUUCGGAAUCACUGGGCUUAAAGGGCGCGUAGGCGGGCUGUCAAGUCUGGGGUGAAAUCCCGCGGCUCAACCGUGGAACUGCCUCAGAUACUGACGGCCUCGAGGGAGAUAGGGGCGAGCGGAACUAAUGGUGGAGCGGUGAAAUGCGUUGAUAUCAUUAGGAACUCCGGUGGCGAAGGCGGCUCGCUGGAUCUCUUCUGACGCUGAGGCGCGAAAGCUAGGGGAGCAAACGGG